rnacentral:piRNA from 1 species
UUGAUCAACCCAACUGCUAAU